rnacentral:rRNA from 1 species
GCAUAUCAAUAAGUGGAGGAAAAGAAACCAACCGGGAUUCCCUUAGUAACGGCGAAGUGAAGCGGGAAAAGCUUCAAAUUUGAAAGCUGGCUUGUCCUUGUGGCAGUCCGCAUUGUAAUUUGAAGAUAUUGCCUUAGGAUUAUCCUCCUGUCUAAGUCCCCUGGAAAGGGGCGCCAUUGAAGGUGACAGCCCUGUAAGAUGGGAGAGAUUUUUCCAUUGUAAGGCCUUAUCGAAGAGUCGCGUAGUUUGGGAAUGCUGCGCUAAGUGGGAGGUAAAUUCCUUCUAAAGCUAAAUAUUGGACAGAGACCGAUAGCAAACAAGUACAGUGAUGGAAAGAUGAAAAGCACUUUGAAAAGAGAGUGAAAUAGUACGUGAAAUUGCUGAAAGGGAAGGGUAUAUCGUGAGUUAUGGUGUGUGACUGUUUAUGGUUUCCCUUGUGGAUCCUGGACUCAGUCUUCGCCGUGCCAGGGAGAAUUUUGGCGGUGGGAUAAUUGCCUGGGAAUGUGGCUUUCACCUUAUGGUGAGAGUGUUAUAGCCUUGUGUGGAUACCACCUGCUGGGAUUGAGGACUGCGACUUUAUUGUCAAGGACUCUGGCUUAAUUGCGACAUACCGCCCGUCUUGAAACACGGACCAAGGAGUCUAACACCUAUGCAAGUCUUUGGGUGUGAAACCCCUUAAGGCGAAAUGAAAGUGAACGUAGAUUUGAUCCCCCUUAGGGGCGCAAAAUCGACCGAGCCUGAUGUUUACUGACGGCUUUGAGUAAGAGCAUAGUUGUUGGGGACCCGAAAGAUGGUGAACUAUGCCCGAGUAGGGUGAAGCCAGAGGAAACUCUGGUGGAAGCUCGUAGCGGUUCUGACGUGCAAAUCGAUCGUCAAACUUGGGUAUAGGGGGCGAAAGACUAAUCGAACCAUCUAGUAGCUGGUUCUGCGA